rnacentral:rRNA from 1 species
UACGAAGGGGGCUAGCGUUGCUCGGAAUCACUGGGCGUAAAGGGUGCGUAGGCGGGUCUUUAAGUCAGGGGUGAAAUCCUGGAGCUCAACUCCAGAACUGCCUUUGAUACUGAGGAUCUUGAGUUCGGGAGAGGUGAGUGGAACUGCGAGUGUAGAGGUGAAAUGCGUAGAUAUUCGCAAGAACACCAGUGGCGAAGGCGGCUCACUGGCCCGAUACUGACGCUGAGGCACGAAAGCGUGGGGAGCAAACAGG